AGGAAACAAUUAUCAUCUUCAGUUUUGACAGAC
rnacentral:misc_RNA from 1 species